AUCAAUUCAGUCUGAAGAAGUUCGCUGUCCGCCAUUCCACAAUUCCCUCGCUUCGCAAGGGAAGACCGACCUGUGUGUAAGAAGACCUGUGUAAGAUAACUUCAUUAAACAAGAGUCCUCGCAAACAAAAUCAUGGCAGGGCUCAGUAUGGAUGGUGGCAAUGGCAAGGUUACCUUUAGAGGAAUGACCGUUUGCAAGGUCAUGAUUGAAGCCAUUCUAAGGACACAGCCUAGGGCAACUGAGGCAGCUGUUGUGUCCCGAAUUGGGACAUACCUUAGAUCGGCACCUGACAGGAAAGGUGGUGGUGGGCGAAAGACUGCUGACACCAAUGCAGCUGUUAGUGCCUGUUAAUGUUGAAAACAUCUGUUGAUGUUGGAAAGAGUUUUGUACUCUAAAUAGAAAAUAAAAUUGUUCUUAUUUUGUUCAUA